AUGUGUGGGGGUUUGGGUAUCCAGAAGAGGAAAAGGAGCUCUUUCCCUUCCAUGACACUUCCUGAGUCGGUCAGGGGCUGGCAGUCGACCUGGUUCUACUGCCAGGACAUUGCGACUCCAGGCCAGUCGACUGGACUUCCUCCUUUUACUUUAGAUCGAGCCCAGACCCCUUCCUCAUUGAAAGUGACCACUACGGAGAGGAUGGAAACAAACAUGCUGGUCGAGAGGGUGGUCCAGUUGAUCAAUCAGGGUGUCACUAGCAUGGAUUUGUUGGAGGUAUUUCUCAGUCGAUGCAUCCAGCCACUCCAGGCUCGUGACCACUCGAUGUGGAUGUACUCUGGAGCCAACGACACCGCACGAGUUCACCCAGAGGAAGUAUCGUCCAAGACAAUGGCCCAGUGGUUGAAGGGUAUCACAGGGAACAAGGACAAC
rnacentral:rRNA from 1 species